GACAGAGGCCCCACGCGUUAGGCGGAAUCACUGGGCUUAAAGCGUGUGUAGGCGGAUCGUUAAGUGUCUUGUGAAAUCCCACGGCUCACCCGUGGAACUGCUGGGCAUACUGGCGAUCUUGGGCCAACUAGGGGCAGCCGGAACAAGCGGUGGAGCGGUGAAAUGCGUAGAUAUCGCUUGGAACGCCGAAGGUGAAAACAGGCUGCUGGGGUUGCGCCGACGCUGAGACACGAAAGCCAGGGGAGCAAACGGG
rnacentral:rRNA from 1 species